rnacentral:rRNA from 1 species
AUUGAACGCUGGCGGCAGGCCUAACACAUGCAAGUCGAGCGGAUGAAGGGAGCUUGCUCCUGGAUUCAGCGGCGGACGGGUGAGUAAUGCCUAGGAAUCUGCCUGGUAGUGGGGGAUAACGUCCGGAAACGGGCGCUAAUACCGCAUACGUCCUGAGGGAGAAGGUGGGGGAUCUUCGGAUCUCACGCUAUCAGAUGAGCCUAGGUCGGAUUAGCUAGUUGGUGGGGUAAAGGCCUACCAAGGCGACGAUCCGUAACUGGUCUGAGAGGAUGAUCAGUCACACUGGAACUGAGACACGGUCCAGACUCCUACGGGAGGCAGCAGUGGGGAAUACUGGACAAAGGGCGAAAGCCUGAUCCAGCCAUGCCGCGUGUGUGAAGAAGGUCUUCGGAUUGUAAAGCACUUUAAGUUGGGAGGAAGGGCAGUAAGUUAAUACCUUGCUGUUUUGACGUUACCAACAGAAUAAGCACCGGCUAACUUCGUG